rnacentral:pre_miRNA from 12 species
GCCCGAAGAAUUCUCCAGCCGUUUGCUUCGGAUGGCUGUGUUUCUGGUGCAUGUGCAUUUGAAGAUCUCAUGACUAGAUCCACACUCAUCCAUAGCAGACGGUAUGAAUCACACAAACAACA